GGAAUGCUGGAACCAGGACACCACGAGGGGCGCGGUCUUUCCUGAUGCCCGGGGCGGGGACCGUGGGCAGAGGGAUGCUCGGGUGGGGAGGAAGGGAGCAUCGCUAAGGACGGAGAGUCUCCGGGGUGACCGGGUGAGCCUCGUGGGCACUGAGGACGGAUCAGAAGAGUGAGGCCUGAGAGAACAUUUCCUUUGCUGUGUAAAAGAGUCGGACUGGAGUAAGCAACUGAACUGAACUGAACCUGCUGUGAAAAUACUGCUACACCCUUCAGUCGGUGUGGAACAGAGGUGGUUGAAGCAGACCUCCUAUCCUUGGUCUGGAUCUCAAGAGGCAAGCAUGCACUCAGACUCUGCUAGAUGUGAUGUGACGAGAGCUGGAUGUUUCUCGGGGAUGUUCUUCACCACUACCACGACAAUCCCUUCUAUCCCGAGAUGGUUGACCAUGUUUAUUGAUUUAGUUAUUUACUUACUUGUCAUGAACGGGUCUUGAACCGUGUCAAAAUGCUUUUUCUUUGUCUGUCAAGAUGACAGGUGGUUUCCGUCCUUCAUUAUAUCAAUACACUGUUUCCCAU
ensembl:lncRNA